UCAGUGGUGAAGAGCACCGACUGCUCUUGC
rnacentral:piRNA from 1 species